rnacentral:rRNA from 1 species
CUACGGGAUGCAGCAGUCAAGAACAUUCGACAAUGGGCGAAAGCCUGAUCGAGCGACGCCGCGUGCAGGAUGAAGUCCUUAGGGAUGUAAACUGCUUUUGCCAUGGAAAAAUUUUGAUUGUACAUGGAGAAUAAGGGGUUGCUAACCUCGUGCCAGCAGCAGCGGUAAUACGAGGACCCCAAGCGUUAUCCGGAAUUACUGGGCGUAAAGAGUGAGCAGUCGGUUGUGCUAGUCGAAUGUUAAAUCUUAGGGCUUAACCCUGAAACCGCAUUCGAAACGGCAUGACUAGAGCUGGUAAGAGGUAGGCGGAACGUGCGGUGUAGGGGUGAAAUCCAUUGAUAUCGCACGGAACACCAAAAGCGAAGGCAGCCUACUAGUGCUAUGCUGACGAUCAUUCACUAAAGCGUGGGGAUCAAAAAGGAUUAGAUACCCGCGUAGUC